rnacentral:rRNA from 1 species
AUGGCUUUAGGGCGUCCGAGUUUUGUCGCGGCCAUCAGUUCAGAUACCUGCGUCAUUGUGUAUGUUGCAACCACGGCCAUUUGUGUCACUGCGUGCUCCGUCACUGGCCUCCUACGCAUCGUGACCCCUGCCGCACUCCUUCCUCUCCCUGAAGCUGCUCGUACCCUCCCAGGCUUGAUAUCCUACUGCAGCGAUGAGCUCCUGUACAUCACCGAAGUUCCAUACCCGCUCAAUGGCACCAACACGAGGAUGCAGCAGCUAGGCUGA